AACGAACGCUGGCGGCGUGCUUAACACAUGCAAGUCGAACGAGAAAGCGGGCUUCGGUCCGCUAGUAAAGUGGCAGACGGGUGAGUAACACGUGGGUAACCUGCCCGGAGGUGGGGGACAACCCUCCGAAAGGAGGGCUAAUACCGCAUGAUAUCCCUGAGGCUUCGGCCUUGAGGAUCAAAGCUAGCCUCUACAUGUAAGCUAGCUCCACCGGAGGGGCCCGCGGCCCAUUAGCUAGUUGGGAGGUAACGGCUCACCAAGGCGACGAUGGGUAGCCGGCCUGAGAGGGGUGUUCGGCCACACUGGAACUGAGACACGGUCCAGACUCCUACGGGAGCAGCAGUGAGGAAUCUUGCGC
rnacentral:rRNA from 1 species